rnacentral:rRNA from 1 species
GAUGAACGCUGGCGGCGUGCCUAAUACAUGCAAGUCGAGCGAACAGACGAGGAUCUUGCUCCUCUGACGUUAGCGGCGGACGGGUGAUUAACACGUGGAUAACCUACCUAUAAGACUUGGAUAACUUCGGGAAACCGGAGCUAAUACCGGAUAAUAUAUUUAACCGCAUGGUUCAAUAGUGAAAGACGGUUUUGCUGUCACUUAUAUAUGGAUCCGCGCCGCAUUAGCUAGUUGGUAAGGUAACGGCUUACCAAGGCAACGAUGCGUAGCCGACCUGAGAGGGUGAUCGGCCACACUGGAACUGAGACACGGUCCAGACUCCUACGGGAGGCAGCAGUAGGGAAUCUUCCGCAAUGGGCGAAAGCCUGACGGAGCAACGCCGCGUGAGUGAUGAAGGUCUUCGGAUCGUAAAACUCUGUUAUUAGGGAAGAACAAAUGUGUAAGUAACUAUGCACGUCUUGACGGUACCUAAUCAGAAAGCCACGGCUAACUACGUG